rnacentral:rRNA from 1 species
GAUGAACGCUGGCGGCGUGCCUAAUACAUGCAAGUCGAGCGAACAGACGAGGAGCUUGCUCCUCUGACGUUAGCGGCGGACGGGUGAGUAACACGUGGAUAACCUACCUAUAAGACUGGGAUAACUUCGGGAAACCGGAGCUAAUACCGGAUAAUAUUUUGAACCGCAUGGUUCAAUAGUGAAAGACGGUUUUGCUGUCACUUAUAGAUGGAUCCGCGCCGCAUUAGCUAGUUGGUAAGGUAACGGCUUACCAAGGCAACGAUGCAUAGCCGACCUGAGAGGGUGAUCGGCCACACUGGAACUGAGACACGGUCCAGCCUCCUACGGGAGGCAGCAGUAGGGAAUCUUCCGCAAUGGGCGAAAGCCUGACGGAGCAACGCCGCGUGAGUGAUGAAGGUCUUCGGAUCGUAAAACUCUGUUAUUAGGGAAGAACAAAUGUGUAAGUAACUAUGCACGUCUUGACGGUACCUAAUCAGAAAGCCACGGCUAACUACGUG